rnacentral:lncRNA from 1 species
GGAACAAUAACUGCACACGAGGCAAGCACGCGUUGCCGACUUGCUCCAGAAUGGAAUCAGCAGAAAGGCAUCCGGUGUGGUUGGGGCGUCGCAGGAUAUGGAGAAACGCGUUUUUCUCUGGGUGAACCACCUGAAGAAAGGCAUUCUUCCAGUUUCCCGAAGCGGCCGGCGCCUCCGCCACAGACACGCGAAAGCUACAUCUGAGAUAAAUCCGGUGAACGCGGCUUACGGCACCGUGAUUCCCUUCGCGCGCGUCUCUCUUUUGAGAUGCACGCGGUUCGCCUGCGCUCCUGGACCGCCUGUUCCCUGGAAACCCUCCUGGCAAGAUCUGCCGGCGUGUUCUGUGUCUUUGCUCCUUUUCCAGAACGAAAAACAAAACUGCAAACCCUAAACCAGAAGCGAACCGACUCACCGCUGCCGAUGCCUCGAUCCUGUGCACUCUGUCGAGGAUCCGGGGUGGACUGUUCCGGCCUCGCGCUUUCAUUUCGUGUUUGCGGUCUGAACCGAUCUACUCCGGCAACGCCCCCGGAGGUACCUGGUUCUCUUCGGCCAAUCACGGCGCGACUGUCUCCGACGUGAGCAACAAACAAUUUCUUCAGCGCGUGGAUAUGCAGAAUAACUGUC